AGGCUAUGGUCAAAUGUAUAGCUAACUUGGUUAAAUGUGUAGCUAACUAAAAAUAAAUCUUAGUUUAGAGCUUGUACUGGGGAAAACAUUUUCAUUUUUUUUCUUUGUGCCAGUCAAAAAUUUCAGUGGAAACAAAAUGAAUGGCUCAGCAGAAAGACAGAAUAUCAAAUGAGUUUCAGACCGAAGUCCCAAAAGGAUGAGCCGAGCUCUUCAAACUAUGAAUUAGAUGGAGUCUUUGAUUCUUGAAAUAAUCAAAUACUGUCUUAUCAGGAUUCUUCACCUCAAACUGGAGCUGUGGACACUUGAAAAGGAGAGAAAAUGAGAUUGAAGCAGUGAGCAGAAGAGAAAAAAAUAGUAUUUUUCAUUCUUGUUUGUAGUCAGUUUUGGUUCCAAAGUGGAUAUCAUCCUAACAAGAGGGUUUACAGCAAAAAAACAAAAAAACAAAAAAACACACACACAAUGGAGAGAUUACAUUUGCAUAUAUUAAUAAUCAGGAGAUAAUAAUGAGGUGGUUGAAAAUCAGCUGCAGCCAGGCUAACCCAGCUAGGUAGCAGAAUUUAUAUAGUCAUGAUCACUUGCUUCUCAGGGAUAUGACAAACACCAAUCAGACCUAUUUUUUUUUUCGUGUCAGGAGCAACCGGAGUUGCUUCUGGAGUGAGAGAAUUGGCCGUCUGCAAGGACGUUGCCCAGGGGAUGUUUUGAUGUUUUUACCAUCCUUGUGGGAGGCUUCUCUCAUGUCCCCGCAUGGAGCUGGAGCUGAAAGAGGGAGCUCAUCUACAUGGGAUUCGAACGUGGCAGCUUUCAGGUCAGCAACCCAACCUUCAAGUAAUGAGGCUUUUAUCCUCUAGGCCACUGGAGGCUCCAUUUUAUCGGGUGGAAAGGGGUCAUAGGUGGAAAAUCCAGUUCUGGAGCCCAAAGGUGUGGGAUGACAGCCACCUCCUCUCCCCAAUCCCCCCCAAACAAACUUUAAAAUGAAAAAAACUUAACACCCCUAAUCAAUAGUUUUAAGUAAGCACCAGAACAGACCUCCAAGCCCCAAACUCCCCUGUUGAAUUUCUUGCUUCUUUCUCCCUAUUAGUCAGAAAAUUUAGGAAAACUCCUUCUCUGAUGCUUUUUAAGAAAGCAAACAAAACAUUUCUAUUUUGCCUAUACACUAGAGUCUCACUUAUCCAAGCUAAACGGGCCGGCAGAAACUUGGAAAAGCAAAUAUCUUGGAUAAUAAGAAGGGAUUAAGGAAAAGCCUAUUAAACAUCAAACUAGCUUAUGGUUUUACAAAUUAAGCAACAAAACAUCAUGUUAUACAACAAAUUUGACAGAAAAAGUAGUUCAAUAUGCAGUAAUGUUAUGUUGUAAUUACUGUAUUUAUGAAUUUAGCACCAAAAUAUCCUGAUAUAUUGAAAACAUUGACUACAAAAAUGACUUGGAUAAUCUAGAAGCUUGGAUAAGCAAGGCUUGGAUAAGUGAGACUCUACUGUAUAUUCUUUUUUGCAAACCAUGUUAAGGACCCUUCUGGGGGCCAAAAAACAAUACAGAAAUAUCUAAAUGAUUUUGAAUUUUCGCUGUCCUAUUUCUGUUAUCAUCCUCAUCUGCUGUGGCCAAUUAUUAUGUCCGUCUAUCUA
ensembl:lncRNA